UGGCUGUCCUGUUGGAGAACUAUGAGCAAGCAGAAAUUUUCUUUGAGGAUGCUACUUGCUUGGAACCAACUAAUGUUGUAGCCUGGACUUUACUUGGUUUGUACUAUGAAAUUCAAAACAAUGAUAUUCGAAUGGAAAUGGCAUUUCAUGAGGCCUCCAAACAGCUUCAGGCAUGGAUGCUUCAGGCACAAGACCAGGAGCUGCAUUAUCUAUUCUAGACAAAUUUCUUGAAGAAUCCUCCAAACUGCAGUCUGAUUCACAAGAACCCAUUUUGACUACACAAACUUGGGAUCCAAGUAUAAGCCAAAAACCAUCUAACACAUUUAUCAAGGAGAUACCAACAAAGAAAGAAGCAUCAAAAUGUCAAGAUUCAUCAGCUCUUCUGCAUCCCGGCCUUCAUUAUGGUGUUUCUCAAACUACCACCAUCUUCAUGGAGACCAUACGUUUCUUGAUGAAAGUCAAGGCUGUGCAGUAUGUGCACAGAGUGCUUGCACAUGAGCUGUUAUGCCCUCAAGGAGGCCCCAGCUGUGAAUAUUACUUGGUGCUGGCCCAAACACACAUUCUUAAGAAGGACUUUGCCAAGGCAGAGGAAUACCUUCAACAAGCAGCCCAGAUGGACUACCUGAACCCCAAUGUCUGGGGCCUGAAGGGCCAUCUCUAUUUUCUGAGUGGAAAUCAUUCUGAGGCCAAGGCAUGCUAUGAACGAACCAUUAGCUUUGUAGUGGAUGCUUCUGAGAUGCACUUCAUCUUCCUGCGACUGGGGCUCAUCUAUCUGGAAGAGAAAGAGCUGGAGGAGCUCACAGAGGCUGAGGAUGCUCUCUCUGAAGCCAAUGCAUUGAACAACUACAAUGCUGAAGUAUGGGCAUAUCUGGCUCUGGUCUGCCUGAAAGUUGGACGGCAAUUAGAAGCUGAGCAGGCCUACAAGUACAUGAUCAAGCUGAAAUUGAAAGAUGAGGCUCUGCUUGCAGAGAUCCACACACUACAGGAAACAGUUGGCUUUGGAAAUCCAUCUUUCUGAUACCCCUCCAGCUGAACAAUUUUCUGCAUGGGACUCUGAGUUCCUUUCCUUCCCAGAGAGUUUUACCAUAUGAAGCCUGGAGCUGGAGAAUGAAAGAAUCUUCACUAUAAACAGAGACCCAUUCAUUUAUUUCCAUUGGCUGUGUUACUGGAUGUUUUACUGGUUGACGAGAAACUGGGUCACAAUAAAAAAUGGAGAUAUGAAACUCAAAA
rnacentral:sRNA from 1 species